UACGGAGGGGGCUAGCGUUGUUCGGAAUUACUGGGCGUAAAGCGCACGUAGGCGGCUUUGUAAGUUAGAGGCGAAAGCCCAGGGCUCAACCCUGGAAUUGCCUUUAAGACUGCAUCGCUUGAACAUCGGAGAGGUAAGUGGAAUUCCGAGUGUAGAGGUGAAAUUCGUAGAUAUUCGGAAGAACACCAGUGGCGAAGGCGACUUACUGGACGAUUGUUGACGCUGAGGUGCGAAAGCGUGGGGAGCAAACAGG
rnacentral:rRNA from 1 species